AGAGUUUGAUCAUGGCUCAGGAUGAACGCUAGCGGCAGGCUUAACACAUGCAAGUCGAGGGGCAGCGGGGUGUAGCAAUACACUGCCGGCGACCGGCGCACGGGUGCGUAACGCGUAUGCAACCUACCCAUAACAGGGGCAUAACACUUGAGGAAUUGGUACUAAUUCCCCAUAACAUUCGAAGAGGCAUCUCUUUGGGUUGAAAACUCCGGUGGUUAUGGAUGGGCAUGCGUUGUAUUAGCUAGUU
rnacentral:rRNA from 1 species